rnacentral:lncRNA from 1 species
GAAACAUCUUGCCCAGAAGCCAAGGAGGUCAGCCUUCUGCUGCUUUCAGCUCUCAGGUGACCAGCACAGUAUGGAAACUGUCGACUACUUUAAUUUCCCCUGACUAGCUCCAUUAAGAAGAGUGUUUUGUGAACAGUCUAUACCAGUGGGGGAGCUUCUCCGUUUUCCCCAAGCCCUUCUUUAAUUCGGUUGUAGACUUUGUCCCUAGGUGAGCCUCAGUGGACUCAGUGUCUGUCCUGCUCCUUCUUCAAUGUGAUUAAGUGGCACCCAAAGCAAGUGAGUGAUCCCAUAGAUCAGCUGCUUGGAUGUCUCCAUGUGAGGGUGAUCUUUGACUUCAUCAUGGCAGACCAGGAAUAUUAGAGAGUUACCACCCAGGAGACACUGCCACGAGUAGACAGAGGAGGAUGAAGGGGCCGAGGAACUAGCUGGUCUAUGCUUGCUGCCACCUUGGUGUCUGCUGGGCUGAGGAAGACCAAGUCCCUGGAUACUCCUGUGAGCCAUGUCUUCUAAGGACAUAUUUGGAAGUCAGUAUGAGAAAAGCAUCACUAUGAAGCAAGCAAAAUUGUCUUCUGUAGCUGUUGUAUGAAGAUUGAUAGAUGAACUCUGACUACCUUGAUCCUAGGUCCUCACUGAUUCAGUGAGAUGCUGGGUUUAG